UACGUAGGGGGCAAGCGUUGUCCGGAAUCAUGGGGCGUAAAGAGCGCGUAGGCGGUCCGGUAAGUCCGCUCUGAAAGUCCGGGGCUCAACCCCGGGAGGCGGGCGGAUACUGUCGGGCUAGAGUCCGGAAGAGGCGAGUGGAAUUCCUGGUGUAGCGGUGAAAUGCGCAGAUAUCAGGAGGAACACCAAUGGCGAAGGCAGCUCGCUGGGACGGUACUGACGCUGAGGCGCGAAAGCGUGGGGAGCAAACAGG
rnacentral:rRNA from 1 species